GUCCUUGUAGCUUAAUGGAUAGAGCAUUGGGUUGCGAACCCAACGAUUGGGAGUUCGAAUCUCCCCGAGGACA
rnacentral:tRNA from 4 species